ensembl:lncRNA
UGGGGUACUGUGCUUCUCUCUUCAUUCUUACUAUUCUUUCUUUUCUUACCAUCGUUCUCUUAAGACAGAGUAUUAUGACAGUGUGGUUGGUGAAAAAGGAGAUGAAGGACCCCCUGGACCUCCAGGACCAAAAGGUCAACGUGGCAUGCCUGGGCCACAGGGUCCCCCCGGGUAUGCUGGUAGACCAGGUGUGACAAGACCUGGUCUGAGAGGUCCCCCAGGAUUUCCUGGGCCAAAAGGAGCAAAAGGAGAAAACGGACAAGCUGGCUUGUGUAUUGUAGGCCCUCCAGGACUACCUGGUAUUACUGGCAGACCUGGUCCUGUUGGAUUACCAGGUCCUCCAGGAGAACCAGGUAGAGUAACAUUUAGAACAGGCCUGCCAGGACUACCUGGAGAGCCAGGGUGUACAGGACCUCCGGGACCUCCAGGAGAUACUGGCAUGAAAGGUCAGUUUCAGAAAACUAUCACUCAGAAGUUGAUGGUGCAAUCCAGUAAUCUUCAUGGAUCCUCAUGAGAUUUUGAAUGUGAUUUACCUCUUAAG